rnacentral:rRNA from 1 species
AGCAAAGGAUAGACAGCGCCCGCGGAGCUCGCUCCCGGGGCUACCCUACUCCCGUAGGGUUUAGAGUCGUCGGGCCUCUCGGAGAAGCUCGGUCCUGAACUCCACCCUUGAAUAAACUACCUUUGUUGCUUUGGCGGGCCGCCUCGUGCCAGCGGCUUCGGCUGUUGAGUGCCCGCCAGAGGACCCCAACUCUUGUUUUUAGUGAUGUCUGAGUACUAUAUAAUAGUUAAAACUUUCAACAACGGAUCUCUUGGUUCUGGCAUCGAUGAAGAACGCAGCGAAAUGCGAUAAGUAAUGUGAAUUGCAGAAUUCAGUGAAUCAUCGAAUCUUUGAACGCACAUUGCGCCCUCUGGUAUUCCGGGGGGCAUGCCUGUUCGAGCGUCAUUAUAACCACUCAAGCUCUCGCUUGGUAUUGGGGUUCGCGGUUUCGCGGCCCCUAAAAUCAGUGGCGGUGCCUGUCGGCUCUACGCGUAGUAAUACUCCUCGCGAUUGAGUCCGGUAGGUCUACUUGCCAGCAACCCCUAAUUUUUUUAAGGUUGACCUCGGAUCAGGUAGGGAUACCCGCUGAACUUAAGCAUAUCAAA